GAAAUGCGAUAAGUAAUGGGAAUUGCAGAAUUCAGUGAAUCAUCGAAUCUUUGAACGCACCUUGCGCUCCUUGGUAUUCCUUGGAGCAUGCCUGUUUGAGUAUCAUGAAAUCUUCAAAGUAAAUCUUUUGUUAACUCAAUUGGUUUCUACUUUGGUAUUGGAGGUCUUUGCAGCUUCACACCUGCUCCUCUUUGUUCAUUAGCUGGAUCUCAGUGUUAUGCUUGGUUCCACUCGGCGUGAUAAGUUAUCUAUCGCUGAGGACACUGUAAAAGGUGGCCAAGGUAAAUGCAGAUGAACCGCUUCUAAUAGUCCAUUGACUUGGACAAUACUUUUAUGAUCUGAUAUCAAAUCAGGUAGGACUACCCGCUGAACUUAAGC
rnacentral:misc_RNA from 1 species